UACGGAGGAUCCAAGCGUUAUCCGGAAUCAUUGGGUUUAAAGGGUCCGUAGGCGGCCUUAUAAGUCAGCGGUGAAAUCUCCCGGCUCAACCGGGAAAUGGCCAUUGAUACUGUAGGGCUUGAGUAUAGUUGCCGUUGGCGGAAUAUGACAUGUAGUGGUGAAAUACAUAGAGAUGUCAUAGAACACCGAUUGCGAAGGCAGCUCACAAAACUAUAACUGACACUGAGGCUCGAAAGUGCGGGGAUCAAACAGG
rnacentral:rRNA from 1 species